CUUUCAAGACUCGAACAAGACCUCUCAGCCGCCUGUUCGAGAAGGAAAUCACAGACGACUCUCUGGAUAGAGUGCGUUGGUUGCAGCAGCUGUUUUGGAUUUACGUAUUUUUUAAUAAUAGCAAGAGACAAGUCUCGAUUUGACAACUCGACAACGGGGCAAGGCCCGAUAUCGAGAGGAGAAUAGAUAAGAGGUCCGCUAACUAGACUAGACUGCCCUGCCUCCUUCUACCCACGGACAACUACUAGACCGCCUCACUCAAUAUAUGCUCGUUUAGUUUAGAUCUAAGGAAAGGCGCCUUGACUGACGGGCUUGUUCAGUCUACAUAACCUGUCUCCACAACACAGCUCGGUUCCUUUCUCUAAACUCAAACCGAGAC